rnacentral:lncRNA from 1 species
CCUCUGUUACUUCUCUUUUCUUAAGAUCUGAUAUUUAUAAAGUUCAUAUGGUAUCAAAGCUCAGAUUCUAACAAAUUUUCAUUACAAAUCCCUAACAAAUCUUCUUCAUUGAUUAUAAAUAUCAAAACCUAGACAAAUGACUUCUUACGCAACUAUGGUAGCAUCUUCCAGUGGAAAUAACCAGAAUCAAACUCAGAAUCAACAAAGGAAUUCGUCUCAUUCAACUCACAAUCAAGCAUUCUUGAAUCAGGUAAAUGAUUUGAAUUCACCACUGAAUUCCGUAUACCAUCCUCUGUAUCUUCAUACAAGUGACCAUCCUGGCUUAGUCUUAAUUGCUAAGAAGCUUACUGGGACAGAGAACUAUACUUCAUGGAAAAGAUCUAUUCAGAUAGCUUUAUCAACGAAAAACAAGCUAAUAAUCAUAAAUGGAGGAUAUGAUAAACCAAACUCUGAUAGUCCUCUGUUUCCGCAUUGGGCUAGAGUGAAUGACAUGAUAAUUUCCUGGAUAUUGAAUACGGUUUCAAAUGAAAUUGGAGAUAGUUUGAACUUCAUAACUAGUGCUUCUUUAAUGUGGAAAAAAUUACAAGAUAGGUUUUCUAGUAUUGAUGGACAUAGAAUUUACCAAUUACAAAGAGAUUUACAUUCUCUGGAGCAAGAACACAAAUCAGUUGAACUAUAUUUCCAUAAGAUGAAAGGAUAUUGGGACGAAUUUACAGCUCUAGAACCUGCAGUUGAAUGUACAUGUGGUGCACAUCAAGUGCUUGAAGAAAGAGAAGGGAGGAGAAAAUUACUUCAAUUCCUAAUGGGUUUACAUGAAAACUUCUCAGCAGCAAGGGGACAAAUACUCAUGAUGCAACCAUUAUCAGAUGUUAAUCAUGCUUAUUCUUUGUUGAAACAAGAUGAAAGGAUGAAACAUGGUUACAUACCUGAAGCUAGUAACACCUUUGUAGCUAAUUCUACUGUCCACAGUACUGAAAUGGCAGUCAAUUAUGCAGGCAGAACAUCUGGUACUAAAACAGGAUGUGCCAAUUGUGGAAGGGAAAAUCACACCAUAGAUAAAUGUUUCCAGAUUGUAGGAUUUCCCCCCAAUCAUCUGCACAUC